rnacentral:rRNA from 1 species
GAUGAACGCUAGCGACAGGCUUAACACAUGCAAGUCGAGGGGCAGCAUAAAGGUCAGCUUGCUGAUUUUGGUGGCGACCGGCGCACGGGUGAGUAACGCGUAUGCAACCUACCUAUCAGAGAGGGAUAGCCCAUUGAAAGAUGGAUUAAUACUUCAUAAAACAGGGAUUCCGCAUGGGAUACUUUGUUAAAGAUUUAUUGCUGAUAGAUGGGCAUGCGUUCCAUUAGUUAGUUGGUAGGGUAAGGGCCUACCAAGACGUCGAUGGAUAGGGGUUCUGAGAGGAAGGUCCCCCACACUGGUACUGAGACACGGACCAGACUCCUACGGGAGGCAGCAGUGAGGAAUAUUGGUCAAUGGGCGAGAGCCUGAACCAGCCAAGUCGCGUGAAGGAUGACUGCCCUAUGGGUUGUAAACUUCUUUUAUGUGGGAAUAAAAAGGGGAACGAGUUCCCUGUUGCAUGUACCACAAUGAAUAAGCAUCGGCUAACUCCGUGCCAGCAGCCGCAGUAAUAC